rnacentral:rRNA from 1 species
CGCUCGACACCUACGGGGGCAGCAGUGGGGAAUAUUGGGCAAUGGGCGCAAGCCUGACCCAGCAACGCCGCGUGAAGGAAGAAGGCCCUCGGGUUGUAAACUUCUUUUAACAGGGACGAAGCAAGUGACGGUACCUGUUGAAUAAGCCACGGCUAACUACGUGUCAGCAGCCGCGGUAAUCUGAGCGGGCUGGCAAGGC